AUUUUUCAUUUUGUUUGUGCAAAUGUGUAGGUGCACAUGUGUGUCGGCGUGUAAGGGAGAGAGAGACAGAGGCUUGCACAAUUACAAAGUAAUAUUAGGAAUGUGGAUAUGGUUGGGACAAAAGUGCUGAAAAAAAUAUAGAUAUGAGAUAAUGUAUAAUGAAUAGGUGCUUUAAUCACAUACAUAGUAGGAUGGAAAGAAUACGAGGAAAUUGUGAUAAAUGGUUACAAGAUUACUUAUAAUGGCAAAUACCACAAGAGACUACAAUACACAGAAUUUCCCAAUUUCACGAUAUGAGCUUUAAUCAGUUAUUUAGAUAUUCCUCCAGCCUAAGGGGAUCAACAACAUAGAAUAACAAUAUUAAAUAGUACCUGUACAGCAAACAAGCCUCAUGUAGCAAAUGCUGCUAAGCUGAAAAUAUGCCUGAAAUGCUUGAACAGCCAGACCUCCACUGCUGGCAUAACUUACUGUUCUUUUCAUCCAUCAUGGCAUUGUGUCAAACAUGAGCAAGUGCUGCUAGGGUAAAUCCCAGCUCUACCACCUACAAAAAAUUACAUUGAUUUAAUAAAAGAGAUAACUGAGAAACCACCUUGUUUAAAAAAACAAACAACAAAUAUCUACAAUGCAGCUAGCAAAAGGCAAACAAACAGCACAUAAAGUUUCAUUUUCCAUAUUCAAUGGCUAUUUAUACUUUUGUGGUCCCUGUUCAAAAUAAUGACUAAUCCCAAAGUUUCAUACUCACAAAUGUUCUAUUAGCAAUUUGCCAUCAUAUUAUGGGCAGAAAUCAAAUCCCAAGUCAACUAAAAUAUCAAUGUCUUGAGAUGCAAUUCAUAUCAUCUAUGAAUCUCUCUCUCUCUCUCUCUCUCUCACACACGCACACACACACACACACACACUCCCCACCACCACCACCACCAAACAAACACACAAGAAAUAAAAAACUAACAAAAAGAGGCAGAAAUAUGAACAUCUAACCAAAUUCAAAGUGGACAGAAACCGAAUAGAAAGAUCUAGUAUUAAAAAGUUCUGAACCUUCUAAUGAAUCCUCUAGGCAUAAAACCCAAAUGCAAUAAAUCAACAUUGUUCUCCAUUAGUCAACCAACCUUCUUUUUUUUCCUGGAGGAAGUUGACUUUUGUAUUGAUUGUAUAGAUAAUUACUAACAAAAAUUAGGCAAUUCCCAAAAUAGGGUGCCCUAUACAGGAAGCCUUGAGGGUCCGAGAAUCUUUGCAAUAGAUCCAAAAAUGAGGUGAGCACUAAGUGGGGUCCAAAUUCCCCUAGGGAUAGUUGAGACUUGCUGCUUCCCUUGCUAGUGCAUUUGCCGCAGCGUUACAGUUCCUAUGAGUGUGUCUCCAAGGGACUUGGAUACUGCUGCAAAUGUGGCCAAUUUGGACAAAAAUGUUAUCUGGUCUCCAAGGGCAGAGGGCAUUGCCAGAAGCCCAAGCGAUAGUGUUGCUGGAAUAUCCUCUACCUACACCUUUCUGCUCCAAAGAUGAUUACAUCUUCUGAGUCCUCUGAGUAGAGACUUGGCCACAGCGAAUGUGGAGUCCUUGACUCUGAUAGGCAGAGCAUAAGAAAGGAGGAUCAGGGCUUCAAAAUUCCUAAACAGGCAUCCAAUGCUUGAGGAGCCCUGGUUGCCUAGAGAGCAGCUAUCAGUUGGCCCCAGAUUCUGGUGUCCUUCAUAAAGAAGCUCGAGGAAUCCUGUGGGUACUUAGGUGCAGCAAUGCUUGCCAAUUUUGGUGAAGAUCCGAAAAGGAGAAGAUGGAGAAGCUUGGGAGGUUUAGGGCUCAGAAUGUCACAAGUGACCUCCUUUUUUCAAUAAGAGCUGAGGUAGAGGCUCUCUCCUCACUAAAGAUCUUAUUAUUCUUCUCAAUUCAAAUGGUCUAAAGAGUGGUUGAGAUGGAAGCACUCCAUAGAAGAUUUCCUGAAUUUUUCCAAGGAGUUCUAAGGCAUAAGGAGAAGAGGUGAGGGAUCAAUUGGGGAAUGACCCACAGCCAUCUGAAUAGAAGAAGAAGGUCGAUUCAAAGGGCCAAGGCAACCUCACAAUUUAGAAAUAGAUGUUGAUUGGUUUCUUCAGCAUUGAGGCACAUGGUGCACCUGUUAGGAAAAUGUAUACCCCUUUGCUGUAGUUGAUUGAGUGUCAAAGCCCUUUCAUAGAGUGCUAUCCAAGUAAUAAGCUGGAUUUUAAAGGCAAAAAGGAGCACCAAGCCAUGGUGGCUAUAGAGGGAAAGGCAGAGAGGGGAGGAGAAGGUAGGGACUAUAAGCUUCAGUAAAAUGAAGCAACUGUGAAUAAACCUGAUGGAGAUGGUGAUCAAACAAUCUUGUCAUUGCAUGUGGGAGAAAAAAUAUCGAAUCGGGUAAGACUGAGAGAUUCAAAAACUGGUGAAGCUUGUGGUCAACUAAGAGUCUCUUGAAAUUGUGGUUCCAAGAUCUCGCAUUAGGUGGACCAGUAAUGCUUUCUGCCAUCGAAGAGGAAGGGUUACGGGUCAGACAAAAGAAAAUAGCAAGGGAGUAGUAAAGCGGGUGACGAGGAGGUGAACAAGGAAUCGAGUUUCAUCGUGUCUAUGAGGUCGGUUCGAGUACUGCUAGUUUGAAAGCAAGCUGACUGAAACAAGUAAUUGAUUCAAUUUUCGCUUCAUUGUCAGACGUAAGUGAGGGAGGAAGUGCGGCAAGUUCUAGCCUCUCUUCCCUUGAAAGGUGGCUGAACGACACCCGUAAGUAUUUGAUUUUAGGGAGAGACCAUCCAGUACCUUCACUGAGGUUCAGCCAGCGAGCCUCUUGAUCUGCCACAAAGUUGUGUGUAGCCCCAGGGACAAUCAUAGCCUCAGUAGGUUUUCAAUUGAUAGACACUUCUACAUACAUAAGCUCUCAUGCUUGGGGCUUGACUUUCUUCACUUGCCCCUUCAAUGAGCAGCCUUAGAGCCCUCAUGAGUUUUUCCAGUCUCGCGACUACGACCAUAAAGAAAAAAGACAUAAAGAAAAGGGAAAUACUGGAAAUUGUGGCCUUGAUAAGGGUUGCUUUGCAGCCUGGUGAAAGGACUCUCCCUUUUCAUGAAGCCAGGUGCCACUCGACUUUGUCUAUAACCAAGCUCCAUAACUGGAUUCGAGGAAGGCCAAUGCAAGAUGGAAGGCUAAGAUAGGAUGAGGGCGUUGGCUCUACAGCACAUCCCCAUGAGUCAGCGAAGCAUUUCAGUAUGGCUUGGUCAAGGCAAAUUCCUGUCAUCUUAGUUGUUUCUAGGUUCACCCGAAAGCCCGUAGCCAACUUGAAGCAUUGGAGGUAGAGCAAUAAAUAACUAACUUUUUAAAAAAUUGCAUCACAAAAAGGAGGGUAUCAUCGAUAUAUUGGAGGUGGAAUAUAGAGAGACCCACCUACCCACUUGGAAACCCUAAAUGCGUCUCGUGUUGUACACACGAGAUAGUGAGGCACUGAACACCUCAACUACUAUGGCAAGUAGGAAGGUGAAAGGGGUCCCCUUGGCAGAGCCCUCUCGAAGCAUGAAUGUAACCCUUAGAUGUGUCAUUAAUAGGGUCCAAAAAUUGAGGUUUUGAAUCCAUCUCAAUCAUAGAGAUCCAAAUGGCAUUCUGGACAAAGUCUCAUUAUCAUAAGCUUUUUGAUUACCAAGUCUAAGAUUUUUGCUCUACAGCAGGAAUGGAUGCACUCGUGUGCUAUUAGAGCCCCAUCGAGAAUCUGAUGUUCCUUCUCAAAGGUCCCUUGGGACGAUAAGAACACCUGGCCAAGGACACGUUUAAGGCAGGAAGCCAGGCCUUUAAGAGAAUUUUGUAGGAAGUAUUAAUCAGACUAAUGGGUUUGAAGUCUUUAUGCUCUUUUGCUCCCUCCUUCUUGGGGAUCUUGGCAAUGAAAGUGGCAUUCAUCGCCUUGUGGAUAGUAGCUGGAGAGUGAAAUUCAGAAAAGAAAGCCACGAUAUCAGUCCUAAGGUAUCCCAAAAGACUUUGAAGAGGGCUAUGGGGAAGUCCAUUGAGGUCUUUAAUGGCUUGGAGUACUUUGUCCUCCUAAAAGGGCUUUCCAAAGAGGCUGCAGAUUUGGGAGAAAUAGAAGAGAAGGAGUGGUCCGCCAUUACUGGCCUAGGACUAGAAGGGGAAGAGAAAAGCUUGGAAAAAUAUUCGACAACCGCUGCUUCAUUGAGAUUGAGAUGGUCAACAAUCUGGUCCCCCACCUUGAAGUGGGUAAUACAGUUCUCCCUUCUUUGACAGUUGGCUAUCUUGUGGAAAUAAGUUGUAUUUUGGUUGUCAAGCUUGAGCUAUCUGACUUUGGCCCGACGAGCCCAAUAAAUUUCUUCUUUCUUUAAGAGGAACUGGUAAUCACGUUUAUGGAUGGAUCGAGAAUCCAGCUGAAGGGGAGGGAGGUUUAAGUUCUUCAAUAUAGUCUCAAUGUUGAAUAGACCUCAAAAGGGAAUCUUUUUGGUAUCAGAAGUUUCCAGGGAGUUGUGAACUCCAUGAUUUCAGGAAAACUUUGUGCAUUUGAAGCUUUUUCUACAAGAUAAAACCGGCCCAUGUAUUCACGAGGGGGGAGAAGGACUGCCAAUGGUUACGGACAGGAGAGGGGAUGCUGGGCUCUUAGAGCCAAGACAACUCAAAGAGAAAAGGCUUAGGCCAUCGAGGAAGGGACUGGGUAUCUAGCAGGAUAGUUCUAUGAUUUGAGAUGGGCCUGGGAAGCACCAGAGUGUCAUGGAACUCAUGAUCCCACUUCAGAGGGAUUAGAAAUCUAUCUAAAUUUGAGAGGCUUGGAUUAGCCGAAUGACUAGACCAACUGAACUCUGCUCCUUCCAACAUGAUGUCUAGAAGACUGUUAUGAGACCAUCUAGUGUGAUUAAAAUCACCUCCUACACACCACUUAGAAAAAGGGAGGGACCUCAAAGACUGUAACUCUCUCAAAACGGCCAAUUUCUCGUUGUCUUCUUGUGGUCCGUAGACCACAAUUAACUCAAUGGGAAGCAAAUAAUCACUUUUAUUUCACUUAAUGGGGGUCAAAUCAUGAGAGAGACAUAUAUCAAAAUAGCCUUUGAAAGGUUGAGAGAGAUACUACACAAAAUAGGGAAGAUAUGGUGAAACUACACCUUGAGGGACCACACGAACUUUUCAUUAUACAAAAAGAGGCUCAAGAUAUUAUCUCAUAUGCUCAAAUAUAAUAACAUAAACCUUUGAUCGAACGUAUAUUCUCGAUAAAAAUUCCAAAAAAUUUGGAUCAAGAAACUCAAAGUGAAACUAUUCAAAACUAUGGAGUAAACAAGUUAAUCUACACAUGAUAUAUGCGAGGACUACACUAUUGCUUGGAGACUCUACAAAAACUAAGUAUUCAUAACGAAAAGAUGCAAAGAGCUACUGUAAAGUAAAAAUUACAGCAACCUUUGAUAAUAGAAAUGAGGUAGGAAUUGAAAUAUAAGAAGAAAAAUUAAUACCUUAGUGAAACAAUAGUAUGGGCUUGAUCACACACAUAAGGGACUAGUCCAUGGAAGCCACGCUUUUGUCAAGGGGGCUAUGACUCUCUCUCUUUGAAGAGAAUACUCAAGUUAGGGUUUUGAAAUGAUCCCAAAAGUUACUUUUAUAUUUAGAUCAUAAAGAUGGAUUUGAUCUUGAGCCUUGAUGCCUUGGAUGAGCUUUGACACCCUUCACUUUUUAAAAGCUAGGUUUAUAGCCAUUUUACCUUAAAUCCCUUAGCUUCAUAUUUUAUUUCCCAUUAAAUCCAAAUUCAUAUUUACACUUAUGCCCAUGGUUUUUAAAUAAUUUGUGAGAGUCAAUAAAAGAUGAGGACAUGAACAUAAAGAUAAUAUGAGACAUCCACAUAUGUGAAUAAAAUAUCUUAUGACACCACUAAUGGAUUUCAACAAUACUAAAGUUUCACAUGGGUUAAGCCCAUAAGGUGGUGUCACAUACGGUAUACCCACACGUCACAAAAUCAUAUGUGGAUAAUAAUAUAAAUUAAAUUAAUUAUCAAAAUCCCAUGACUUCACACAUGCCAAAAAAUGGCACAUGUGAGCAAAAAAAGACACGACCUAAAUCAAACUUAAGCCAUAACAAUAUAUAACACUUUAAAUAAAUGGAUAACUUGUUAUAACACAAUACCACCAAAAGAAGUAAUGACAAAUAGGUCUCCAUGAGGAUAUGACAUCAGCAUGAAAUUAGAAACACUAUGGAGAAAUUUGUACAAUUGACAAAUCUCAAUAUUUGUUAGAUUUCCAAAAAGAACCAAGAUAGCCAUUUAUAAUUGUAGUUGCUUUUGCAACUCUGAAAAUAUACACUUCGAUAUUUUAUCUAGAAGUAGUGGUUAAUAAGAAAGAUUAGUGAAGAUAGCCGGUUGAAAUAAGAUAAAAACAUGGCCCACACAUGAGAGUACCAACAAGAAAGACAACAAUUCGAAAGGGAACUACCACUGCUAUAAUUACACCAUUCGAACCCCAAAACAAAGAUAAAAAAUUUCCACAAUAAGCCCACCUAAACCCUAAAAGAACCCAUAAAUGUGAUACUCUUAAAAUUUUCUAUUGACGUAAAGCACAACAACAAAAUAUAACAAAUGAAAAAACCCAUUAACCAAGUCAGCCAACUCAUGGACAUUGUGUUUUCAUUUGCAGAGUGUCAAUGUUGGCAUGCCAUAAUUCUUUUCAAGAGAUUGCAAUUAAAAUGAAUGAAUCAAAGUGAUUGUGAGUUGACAUAAGAAUCGAACUGAUUGCAACAUCAAAGUCAACAGGAUUUACAAGUGCAACCUGGGAUUCCUAUUGCAAUCAGAAUCGAGUUUCUCUCUCUAAUUCAUGGUGGAUUAGGGUUUUUUGAAUUGCAAAACUCUAAUCCACCAUAAAUCUAAUUUUCUCCAGAUUAAUACACAACCAUUAAACCUACCUGAUUAGGAUGGCCAUAUGUCUAUGGUUGUGGAGCUUCAGACCGCAAGUUUGUGGAGAGAGGGAGCUUUGGGCAGAGAGAGAGAGAAAGUGAGAGAGAAAAGUAGAAAUGACAGGAAGAAAGGCCGAACGGGGUUUUGGGGCAUUCUAGAGCACUGUCCAGUACUACGAACAUUGGACAACAUAAGCUAGUUGUCUGGUAAUACAAGCGGCAGACAGAGCUAAUGCUUUGUGGAAAGACUGGGCCCUCAUGUCCGGCAUUGUCAUUGCCAGAUAAGAGCCCCCAAAGGGUGUCCAUACAUAAAUCUCUCAAAAAUUUAAAUAAUAAUAAAAAUUGUCAAAAAUUAGUUGUAGGACUAUUUUGAUCAUUUUCACUAUUUGAAUUAUUUUCAUAGUGUUCUUAGGCUGCAUCUUUCUAGGCGCACACGCCCUCCAACGUUCCGGUGGAUUUGAUAAAUAACACAAAUUAAAAGUCUUGAAAUUUGAAAAUUUGGAGCAGGCACAAUUAUAUUUAAUGCCCACCACUAGUUUUAUAGAAAGGAAAAGACACAGGUAUUUUAAAAUUGUGGAUAAUAGGUUUCUAAAGUUACCAUUCAGGAACAGGAUGUGCGUGUGUGUGUGUAUAUAUAAUGAUACAUAUAUGAAUGUUCAUAGCCCAUUUGAUAUUAAAGCAAUGCAGCCAAACUCAUAUCUCAGAGUCAGAUGAAAGACCAAGCUCGAACGAACGAGUAAAAAUACACGCCAAACCACAUACCCACACAGUGAAACCUUCAUUGUCCACGCACCCACAUGCCAAUCAACUGGAUUGCUUUCCUUCAGAGAUUGACCAACUGUAAAGAGAGGCUUGGCUUUACCUAAUUGAUGUAUCAUGUGUCGCGAAGCCGAGGAAAGUAACCCUCACCUCUUUAUAUAUUGUCCCUUGGCCCAUUCCUUGUGGGGAGCUUUUCUUCAGCUCUUCAAAUGGCAAUGGAUGGCCCCAAAAAAUAUUCUCAAUCUCUUUUCCUCUCUCCACCUCUACCCCUGGGCCUCUUCAGGUAUCAUAUUGUGGAAGGCUUCAAUGGCAGCCCUCGUUCGAUAGAACGUAACAAUCACAUCUUCUGAGGACAGUUCUCGCAUUUGGUUGAAUGUUGAAACACGCCUCAACAGAUAUUCCUAUGUGAUGAAUCACACAGGUGAGACAUGAGAUGGAAGACAAAUUCAAAAGCUAUAAAAAGAAAUAUAAAUAAUAAAAAUUGUAAAAUCUCCCCAACCACAACCUAGCCUUUCCUCCCACCUAACAUGCAGCAUUCCCCAACCUUACCAUCCACAACCUAGCUUUUUGGUUCACUACCCUUGAAGCCUCACUGUCCCUUCCUCUUCCAACAACUUCCACCACCAAACAGAAAAAAGCAUCUUUCCAUUCCACAGAUCGUCCGUCCACCUAUUUCAAACCUCCCAGAAUGAAUGUCAAAUCAUGGUGAUCCAAGAAAGCAGUACCUCACUCCAUGACCAGGCUCGAAAAUUCUCAAGCAACCAUGCAGUCAACUAAACUAUCACUACCUACCCUCCUCUUUACACUAGACCACAUCCCUUUCAUCCCUUUACCAAUCCCAUUUACUAAACCAAAAGACAUUAUGUUCCCCACGUAAAUUAGAGUUCGAGAUAGAAAUAUGAUUAACAUGCUAUAAGACAAUAUUAUGGAAUUUGCAUUACCAGGGUUUAAUUAGCUUGAAAUCAAUCUGGUCAUGUAUGUCACAAUCCGUAUUGAGAUUGCCCAUUAGAAACACUGAGUCACAUCAUAAAACAUAAAACUAGAAUGGUUUGAUAGUAGCUUGAAGAAUAGUGAAGUUGCUUAGGGUCUUCCACUGCUAGUUGCAACUCUCUCAAAACAUUUGCUAGUUUGAAGAGCAAACCUCAAUUCAAGGACAAGUUCGGUAAAAUUGAGCUCCAAACAGAAAUGAAUUUUACAAAUAAUGCACGAAAUAACUAAAUUUGAAGAAACUACAAUCCCUACAAAAGGGCAUCUUAGACAAAAAUGAGACACAAUAUAUUCUCCAGUUCAACCUGCAUGAAUGCUGGAACAAUUUGGACCUAAUUACUGUGCUCCUUUGUUUUGGGAGCUAGCAGAAUUGUCAUGUCAUGUGAGUAUUAUUUGAUGCAAGUACAAAGGCUGUAAGUGCUAACAAUGAUUUGGAAGGUGACUCAAGAGAAGAUUCAUCUUAAACUGAGAUUAAGUUUAUGUAAAACAACAAUUCACAUGAAGUGACAUGUUCAAUCUUAUUAGUGAAGUGAGGGAACCAAUUCCCAUAUGCAUUUGGUUGAAUGUUGAAACCGGCCUCAACAAAUAUUCCUAUGCGAUGAAGCACACGGAUGAGACAUAAGAUGGAAGACAAAUUCAAAAGUUAUAAAAAGAAAUAUAAAUAAAAAAAAUUGCCAAAAUCUCCCCAACCACAACCUAGCCUUUCCUUCUACUCAACCUGCAGCAUUCCCCAACCUUACCAUCCACAACCUAGCCUUUUGGUUCACUACCCUUGGAACCUUAUUGUCCUUUCCGCUUCCACCAACUUCCACCACCAAAAAGAAAACAACAUCUUUCUAUUCCCAAAAAUCAUCCAUCCACCUAUUUCAGACUUCCCCGAAUGAAUGUCAAAUCAUGGUGAUCUAAGCAAGCAGUACCUCACUCCCUAACCAGGCUUGAAAGUUCUCAAGCAACGAAGCAGUCAACUCAACUAUAACUACCUACCCUCCUCUUUACAAAGCCCCUUCAUCCCAUUUCCUAAAUCUAAAGGCAUUAUCUUCCCCAUGUAAAUUAGAGUUCGAGAUAGAAAUAUGAUUAACAUGCUAUAAAACAAUAUUCUGGAAUUUGCAUUACCAGGAUUUAAUUAACUUGAAAUCAAUCUGGUCAAGUAUGUCACAAUCUGUAUUGAGAUUGCCCAUUAGAAACAUUGAGUCACAUCAUAGAACAUAAAACUGGAAUGGUUUGAUAGUAGCUUGAAGAAUAGUGAGGCUGUUAGGGUCUUCCACUGCAUAGUUGCACCUCUCCCAAAAAGUUCGCUAGUUUGAAGAGCAGACCUCAAUACAGGUACAAGUUCAAGAGCUCUAAACAUAAAUGAAUUUCACAAAUAAUGCACGAGAUAACUAAAUUCGAAGAAACUACCAUCCCUACAAAAGGGCAUCUUAGACAAAAAUGAGACAAUAUCUUGUCCAGUUCAACCUGCAUGAAUUAUGGAACAAUUUGGACCUAAUUACUGUGUUCCUUUGUUUUGGAGAGCUAGCAGAAUUUUCAUGUCAUGUGAGUUUUAUAUGAUGCAAGUACAAAGGCUGCUAAGUGCUAACAAUGAUUUGGAAGGUGACUUAAGAAAAGAUUCAUCUUAAACUGAGAUUUCAUUUACGCAAAACAACAAUUCACAUGAAGUGACAUGUUAAUUCUUAUUAGUGAAGCGGGGGAUCCAAUUCAAAUAUGCAUUUGGUUGAACUUUGAGACACGCUUCAACAAAUAUUCCUAUGUGAUGAAUCACACGGAUGAUAUAUAAGAUGGAAGACAAAUUCAAAAGCUAUACAAAGGAAUAUAAAUAAUAAAAAUUGUCAAAAGUAAAUAAGAAAAAUUAACAUAGAAAAGCAAAUACAUGCAUCCCAUACAUGAAUAUGGUUGUUCAACUUCUAGACCUAUGUCAAAACUUAUGGGGGCAAACAUGUCAAACCAUAGGUGUCCAUGUCUGAAAUUUCAAGAUGUGAACAUGAAAAUGCCUCCAUGUUUGAUACGAAAACAUGACACAUGCUUGGUGAGGCUCAUCAAAUUGUCUACUGGUAUGUCGAAAGCAACACAUUAAUCGGAUAUAGUGGUAGAGCCACGCACCACGAGAUGUCUAAAACAAAAUGCCUCUAGAUCCAAUGAUCGAAUGAGCCGAAUGACAAAUUCAAUAUUUAUCAAGAUAGAUUUGGGAAGAAGAAAUAAGAAUUCCAACUGAAAUAAAGCUAUUAUGCAUCUUACCAAUUGCUAAAAUAAAGCUAUUAUGUCACAAUCCGUAUUGAGAUUGCUCAUUAGAAACAUUGAGUCACAUCAUAGAACAUAAAACUGGAAUGGUUUGAUAGUAGCUUGAAGAAUAGUGAGGCUGUUAGGGUCUUCCACUGCAUAGUUGCACCUCUCCCAAAAAGUUCGCUAGUUUGAAGAGCAGACCUCAAUACAGGUACAAGUUCAAGAGCUCUAAACAUAAAUGAAUUUCACAAAUAAUGCACGAGAUAACUAAAUUUGAAGAAACUACAAUCCCUACAAAAGGGCAUCUUAGACAAAAAUGAGACAAUAUCUUGUCCAGUUCAACCUGCAUGAAUUAUGGAACAAUUUGGACCUAAUUACUGUGUUCCUUUGUUUUGGAAAGCUAGCAGAAUUUUCAUGUCAUGUGAGUUUUAUUUGAUGCAAGUACAAAGGCUGCUAAGUGCUAACAAUGAUUCGGAAGGUGACUCAAGAAAAGAUUCAUCUUAAACCGAGAUUUCGUUUAUGCAAAACAGCAAUUCACAUGAAGUGACAUGUUAAUUCUUAUUAGUGAAGUGGGGGACCCAAUUCAAAUAUGCAUUUGGUUGAAUGUUGAAACACGCCUCAACAAAUAUUCCUAUAUAUAAGAUGGAAGACAAAUUCAAAAGCUAUAAAAAGAAAUAUAAAUAAUAAUUCUUAUUAGUGAAGUGGGGGACCCAAUUCAAAUAUGCAUUUGGUUGAAUGUUGAAACACGCCUCAACAAAUAUUCCUAUAUAUAAGAUGGAAAACAAAUUCAAAAGCUAUAAAAAGAAAUACAAAUAAUAAAAAUUGUUCAACUUCUAGACCUAUGUCAAAACUUAUGGGGGCAAACAUGUCAAACCAUAAGUGUCCAUGUCUGAAAUUUCAAGAUGUGAACACGAAAAUGCCUCCAUGUUUGACACCAAAACAUGACACAUGCUUGGUGAGGCUCAUCAGAUUGUCUACUGGUAUGUCGAAAGCAACACAUUAAUUGGAUAUAGUGGUAGAGCCACGCACCACGACAUGUCUAAAACAAAAUGCGUCUAGAUCCAAUGAUUGAAUGGGCCGAAUGAUAAAUUUAAUAUUUAUCAAGAUAGAUUUGGGAAGAGGAAAUAAGUAUUCCAACUAAAAUAAAGCUAUUAUGCAUCUUACCAAUUGCUCAUCAGUUUAUGAAUAAAUCUAACAAACAGGUCGUAAAUGACCAAAACAAAAUUCAUGUCUACAAACAACGUCGUAUAAUGUUGGUUAUUUGGGGGAAGAGAAGAGCAGAAGAUGAAUUAGGAGGAAAACCCUGAUGUGAAAUAAUGAGGCUAGGGGAAGGCAUAUCAAGAGGGGGUGCAGGAGGAAGGGUUGCAAGCUUGGGAUGGUGUUGAGAGAGGGUGGAGAGAGAGAGGGAAAAGAAAGCGAGGGUAGAGAGGGUAUAGGAGCUUGGGAAAAACGAGAUGAAGGAGCAGUUUGCAUGUGAAACACGAUUGGAUGGGUGAAAAGGGGGGGAAAGGGGCACGGCAGAAGAGGGCAAGUGUCCACCAUUCGUGUAGAGGAAGGGCUUAGAAAAGGUAACUGAGGAAACAAUAGGGUCAACGAGUGAAAAGUGGGAAAGGGAGGAGAGUUGCUUGCUAGUUUCCUAAGACCGGAGGGAGACAUGGAGGGAGGACACCUAGUGUCACGGGAUUGGAAAGGGAAGCAACGAUCACAUGCUCACCAGGGACAAGGGACGUGGAGCCACAUGGCAUAUCUUGAAAAGAGGAAAUUACGAUCAAGAGAUCGUUGACAUGCACAGUAGGGGAGGAUCGAUGGCGAGACAAUCGAGAAAGAGCCACGUGGCCGUUCCAUAUGGAGAGAAAGAGCCGCCUGCUCUAAGGCCAGGGAAGACUUGCCUUGGGAAAUAGGGUUUAUAAAGCCACUUGUCAUCCCAUCAGCCUUAAUGAUGGGAAGCUCGAGAGGUGGUAAAGCUCUUGGGGCAGCAGUUUGCGUAGUACCAACUCUGUUAGCCGCACAAUCGAAACUUGGAUGCUGAUGGUCAUUUCUCGACCGUCUUCUAUGCGAGACCUCGGUCCAUCCAUCCUCGUGCAUCAAGGAACGGGAUCCAAACAGAGGAGGAUCGUGGUCUCUGAGAUGGCAGGACGAUAGGGGAGAGGUGAAGGACCAUGCCAUGGGAAUGUUCAAGAAGAGGCCAUCAACUUCAGCCAGAUGGAGGGCGGGAUGAGGGAAGGAGCCAACGAUUAUAUGAGAAGUUGGAUUGAUCCAAAAGGAAGGGUGCCUGAGGACCUCUAAUGGACCAAGCUAAACUCGUCGCAAGAGUCCCCAAUUUUUUUGAAAGUGUCGAUGUGCCACGCUUGCAUGGGGAUGUUGGUGGUCUGAAACCAAAUUGUUUACAAAAUGGCUCCCAGGUACUAUAUCCAAACAGAAAGGGCAAGAGAUGCCCCAUUGAACCGAGAAUGGUGUCCUUGCUGGUCACUAUUACAACUGACUUCAGAUGGGAAAGAGAAAAGAAAUUCUCUAGGCAGGUUAGGUCUGAGAAAGCCCAAAGUUCCCAUUUCCAUUUCUCUAUACCUUUGAUGUCGUGCCUGAGGGGGUGUAUAGACCUACCGAAAAGGACUUCAAAGCCUUCACAAUAUGGAAAGAGUGUGGCUCCCCAACUAGAAUGGUGAGAGGGGCGAGGGAGCUCCAUUAUGGAUGAGGUGGGUGUAGUUAUGGUAAGAGGAGGGGGGGGGGGGAAGAGCCUAGAGAGGAAGAGGGUUGGGCGAGGAAGGAGGCGGUCGAGUACGAGUCAGGGCUUGGGCGGAAGAAGGCGGUGGUCGAGGGGGGCCCAGGCUAGGGAGAGGAGGGAAAGCACUCCAAGACGGACCCAAGUUCUUUGAAUCACCCUCUCUAUGUAUUUUUAAUUAUCUCUAAUAAGGUCAACUAACAUUUUUCCUCUCAAUCAUUGGUGGUACAUACACAAAAUUACUCUCCAGUUUAGUACUAUUACUACAAAAAGUUCUUAAUAUCUUAAAACAUCUUAAAAUAAUAAAACAUGAAUUUUAAAAUUAUAAAUAUUAUUCUUUUACCAAAGUACCUAUACAUAAUUAAAGUAAUAGAUAAAUAAAAAAAACUAACAUAAAAAAGUAAAUACAUGCAUCCCAUGUAUGAAUAUCAUUGUUCAACUUCUAGACACAUGUCAAAACUUAUGGAGGCAAAAAUGUCAAAUCAUAGGUAUCCAUGUGUGAAACUUUGAGAUGUGAACAGGCAAAUGCCUCGAUGUUUGAUACCAAAAAAUGACAUGCUUGGUGAUCCUCACCAGAUUGUCUACGCCAAACACACCAUCUGAACCUAUAACUAAAUUUUAAUGGAGCUACGUAUGUUCUACUUUAAGUGAGUGGAGUAACGACUAAACCCAAAUCCAUGAAAAGAUAGACUAAAUUAAAUCAUUUAUAGGAACAACAUGUAAAACCAAGUUACAUCCUAAACAUAAUACCCGUAAAUUUCCACUAUAAAGAAAAUAAUUAAGAAGAUAAAAAAAAUAAAUCAUAAUCAACAUACAAACUAAGAAAAAUUCAACUAGCAAUUAUAUACUAAGAAAAAUACCACUUCAAAAGAAAAAUGUACUCAGAUUCAGGGACAUGGUAGUUGAUGCAACUAUGGCUGCCAUUUUUAGACUAGAGAGCAAGAUCUAUAGUACCUUCAAAAUCUCUUCUGUAGAUAUUGGACCAGAUGUCCAGUCCAAUGUAUAUUGCGGGCAAAUAAACCCCAAGACCAAUAAAUAGUUAAAAAAAAAGCUGCUUAGAUAAACCUAAAUUAUCUAGAUGAAUCACCACAAACCCCCAAACCAUUGAAUUCCAAAAUCCAAGCUUAUGGCAACAAAUCAGUAGCAUAAACCUUCAAAAAGAAACUAUGAAAACUAGAUACGCCAUAAAUAGGGCACCAAGAACAAAACCCUAGUUCAGGUUAAUGGAUGGCCUCGAAAUUUCAAAAGCAAAGCAACAUAAACCAGAAGAAAUCCCUGAAAGGAAGAUACCUAUGACUUGGAUUCAACGUAAGAAACCCUAAUACUCUUCGUGCUCCAUGGAUUCAACGUUCUUUGGUUUAGCUAAAACACCACCCAUAUAUGUAGACCAGUGAAGAAGAAAGCCUAAUACUAGUUUGCAAAGCAAGAGUAGAACAACAAGAGAAUCGCAGUAAAGAGUUUCUCUCUAUAAAAAAAAAAAACUAACCAGUACGUAAGAAAAAUGAGGGUGGAUAGCUUUUAUAGUGAUACAGAUUUUUAUUUUACCAAUUGUCAAAAAUGCUAACACCGUAAAAUCAAAAUAACUCCCUAAGUCCGUUUACACUAUAAUUUGGAAAGGGGUUCCAAAAGUUUACAGACACUGAUUGAUUCAAUCUGUCGUUUAACAGGAGGAUAAAACAGAAAACAAAGUAAAUGAAAGAAUCUUGUAGAGAGAGAGAGAGAGAGAGAGAGAAGGGGAAAUCUAACUUGCUCCUAGGGUUUUGAAGUAGAAAUAAAGUACAAAGAGAUGAGAAGAACAAAGAGGAGGAGAAGAAGGGAAAAAUAGUACUUCAAAAUUCAAACUAAUGGGCCUCAACAAAUAUAUGACUGUUGGUUUUGUCUCUAGCUCAACCAUCAUAUAUUUCCCCUUCACAAGAAUCUCUCUCUCUCUCUUUGGUUCGUUCAAGCCUUAGAUUGAACUUUCUAGGGCUCAUCAUUGUUGGAGUCUAGAUGGAAAUAGAGAUUGAAGUCUAGCUCUUAGAGAGAGAUCGAGGUGGAGAUUGAAGCUGAACGCUUGCUCUCUCUCUCUAAAAAAAAAAAAUCUAAAAGAUUCAUUACCACCAAUAAAUCGCUUCAACAAAUAGAUUUACAAAGGUUAGUAGAAUCCCAUACCUUUCCAUCUUACUCUGAAUGGAGCAACACCAUGCUUUGACAUUUGUAAAUAUAUGUAUCCAUUUUGUAUAUGGGCACGCAAGACUGAAACAGAGCGUAAAAGAUACGAGAAUAAACAAAACAAGUUAUGGCCUAUUGGGUAUUAUGAGAGAGAGAAAGAGACUAAUACGAUCCCGGUAAAUAAGGCUGAGAGCAUACAAAUACAAGAUUAAGAGAGAGAGAGAGAGAGCGGGAGCAAACAAAGGAUAGAUUAGAAAGAGAAAGGGCAAUCAGGGGCAUCUUACUGGUGAUGAGAGAGAGAGAGAGAGCAACGAAAGGAUAGCUUAGAUAGAAAAAGGCAACUACAAGCAAAAGGAACUUAUCUUCCAAAACCAAAUUUUUAAUAAAAGAAUGAAAGCAAAAAAAAACGCAUAUAAAGUUNNNNNNNNNNNNNNNNNNNNNNNNNNNNNNNNNNNNNNNNNNNNNNNNNNNNNNNNNNNNNNNNNNNNNNNNNNNNNNNNNNNNNNNNNNNNNNNNNNNNNNNNNNNNNNNNNNNNNNNNNNNNNNNNNNNNNNNNNNNNNNNNNNNNNNNNNNNNNNNNNNNNNNNNNNNNNNNNNNNNNNNNNNNNNNNNNNNNNNNNNNNNNNNNNNNNNNNNNNNNNNNNNNNNNNNNNNNNNNNNNNNNNNNNNNNNNNNNNNNNNNNNNNNNNNNNNNNNNNNNNNNNNNNNNNNNNNNNNNNNNNNNNNNNNNNNNNNNNNNNNNNNNNNNNNNNNNNNNNNNNNNNNNNNNNNNNNNNNNNNNNNNNNNNNNNNNNNNNNNNNNNNNNNNNNNNNNNNNNNNNNNNNNNNNNNNNNNNNNNNNNNNNNNNNNNNNNNNNNNNNNNNNNNNNNNNNNNNNNNNNNNNNNNNNNNNNNNNNNNNNNNNNNNNNNNNNNNNNNNNNNNNNNNNNNNNNNNNNNNNNNNNNNNNNNNNNNNNNNNNNNNNNNNNNNNNNNNNNNNNNNNNNNNNNNNNNNNNNNNNNNNNNNNNNNNNNNNNNNNNNNNNNNNNNNNNNNNNNNNNNNNNNNNNNNNNNNNNNNNNNNNNNNNNNNNNNNNNNNNNNNNNNNNNNNNNNNNNNNNNNNNNNNNNNNNNNNNNNNNNNNNNNNNNNNNNNNNNNNNNNNNNNNNNNNNNNNNNNNNNNNNNNNNNNNNNNNNNNNNNNNNNNNNNNNNNNNNNNNNNNNNNNNNNNNNNNNNNNNNNNNNNNNUCUCUCUCUCUCUUUGGUUCGUUCAAGCCUUAGAUUGAACUUUCUCGGGCUCAUCAUAGUUGGAGUCUAGAUGGAAAUAGAGAUUGAAGUCUAGCUCUCAGAGAGAGAUCGAGGUGGAGAUUGAAGCUGAGCGCUUGCUCUCUCUCUCUAAAAAAAAAAAAAUUUAAAAGAUUCAUCACCACCAAUAAAUCGCUUCAACAAAUAGAUUAACAAAGGUUAGUAGAAUCCCAUACCUUUCCAUCUUACUCUGAAUGGAGCAACACCAUGCUUUGACAUUUGUAAAUAUAUGUAUCCAUUUUGUAUAUGGGCACGCAAGACUGAAACAGAGCGUAAAAGAUACGAGAAUAAACAAAACAAGUUAUGGCCUAUUGGGUAUUAUGAGAGAGAGAAAGAGACUAAUACGAUCCCGGUAAAUAAGGCUGAGAGCAUACAAAAUACAAGAUUAAGAGAGAGAGAGAGAGAGCAGGAGCAAACAAAGGAUAGAUUAGAAAGAGAAAUGGCAAUUAGAGGCAUCUUAUUGGUGAUGAGAGAGAGAGAGAGAGCAAUGAAAGGAUAGCUUAGAUAGAAAAAGGGCAACUAUAAGCAAAAGGAACUUAUCUUCCAAAACCAAAUUUUUAAUAAAAGAAUGAAAGCAAAAAAAAACGCAUAUAAAGUUUUUGCAUCCACCUUAGUCAUCAAGAUCUUGAGUUUC
rnacentral:lncRNA from 1 species